UCCUGACUCAGACUGGAAGAAUCUGCCUGCAAUGCAGAAGACCCAGGUUCAAUCCCUGGGUUGGGAA
rnacentral:tRNA from 1 species